AUGGCAGGCUGUGUGCCACACCAUCCUGACGAACGAGCCGGAUCGCCUGCUCUGGAGGUGGACCACCAAUGGCACCUACUCGGCGCGCUCAUGCUAUGCGGCCAGUUUCCAGGGAUCCACGCGGUGCCAUUCUUGGAAGUUGGUAUGGAAGAGUUGGGCGCCUCCACGGGUAAAAAAUUUCCAUUGGCUCGCCGACCAGGAUCGCUGCUGGACUGCUGA
rnacentral:rRNA from 1 species